GCUCCGGUGGCCUAGUGGUUAGAGCUUCCGCCUCUCAUGCAAGGGGUCGUUGGUUCGAUCCCAGAUUGAGUCA